rnacentral:rRNA from 1 species
CUAGGCCAUGACACCCUGAAUAAGCCUGAUCACGUCUGAUCUCGGAAGCUAAGCAGGGUCAGGCCUGGUUAGUACUUUGAUGGGAGACCACCUAGGAAGACAAAAGUAUUGCUACUC